rnacentral:rRNA from 1 species
UACGUAGGGUGCGAGCGUUAAUCGGAAUUACUGGGCGUAAAGUGUUCGCAGGCGGCCGAGCAAGUCGAGUGUGAAAGCCCCGGGCUUAACUUGGGAAUUGCGCUCGAAACUACUUGGCUGGAGUGUGGCAGAGGAAGGUGGAAUUCCAGGUGUAGCGGUGAAAUGCGUAGAGAUCUGGAGGAACACCGAUGGCGAAGGCAGCCUUCUGGGCCAACACUGACGCUCAUGCACGAAAGCGUGGGGAGCAAACAGG